CAGGAAGCUGUAGAUUUGGGAAUCCUAGACCUUUUCUUUGUCUUGUAGAGGCGCCCACCCGCAGGAGGCAAGAAGGAGACAUGCAGAGAGAGCUGGGGGGAGGAGGGCGAGAAAAUCAAUUUCACGAGAGACCUGAUUAAUGCAGCUGCCACAGAGCUGGAGCUCGGCUGUCCUGGGAGGUGUUGAUGAUAAAAUAUUUUUCACUGAUUCCAAAAACAAAAAACCAGCAUGGCCUAGUGUUAAGACUAUAGCUGCUGACACACUUGUUCAGAGCAGCUUCAUUCACAGUAGCCAGAAGGUGGAAACAACCCAGUGUCCAUCAACAGAUGGAUGGAUGAGCAAAGGUGGUAUGUACACGCAAUGGAAUACUAUUCAGUCUUAAAAAAGGAAUGAAAUCUAGACACAUGCUACAACACAGAUGGACCUUGGAAACAGUACACUAAAUGAAAUAGGCCAGAUACAGAAGGACAAAUAUUAUAUGAUUCUACUUAUAAGAGGUACCUAAAAUAUGAGGCAAACUCACAGAGACAGAAAGUAGAAUAGAUGUUACCGGGGGCUGGGGGGAAGUGGGAAGAGGCAGUUAUUAUUUAAUGGGUCUGGAGUUUUUGUUCGGAAUGAUGAAAAAGGUUUCGAUAUAGAUAGUGGUGAUGGUUACACCCGAUGCUCUGGGGACCUGGCCCCAGGUCUGGGCAGAUCUGCAUCCCCAAGAAGAGUGGCCCCAAGUGGAAGUUCACUUGCACGUGGAUAUGUCUUGUCUUAACUCGGGCUGCCAUAGCAGAAUACCGUAGACUGGGCGGCUUAAACAACAGACAAUU